UACGUAGGGGGCAAGCGUUGUCCGGAAUUAUUGGGCGUAAAGCGCGUGUAGGCGGCCAGAAAAGUCCGCUGUGAAAACUCGAGGCUCAACUUCGAGCUGUCGGUGGAAACUUUCUGGCUAGAGUCCGGAAGAGGAGAAUGGAAUUCCUGGUGUAGCGGUGAAAUGCGCAGAUAUCAGGAAGAACACCCGUGGCGAAGGCGGUUCUCUGGGACGGUACUGACGCUGAGACGCGAAAGCGUGGGGAGCGAACAGG
rnacentral:rRNA from 1 species